rnacentral:tRNA from 1 species
UUCUCUAUUAAACUACUC